AGAGUUUGAUCCUGGCUCAGGAUGAACGCUGGCGGCAUGCCUAAUACAUGCAAGUCGAACGAGAGGAAGGAAAGCUUGCUUUCCUAAAUCUAGUGGCGAACGGGUGAGUAACACGUAGGUAACCUGCCCAUGUGCCCGGGAUAACUUCUGGAAACGGAUGCUAAAACCGGAUAGGUAGCAGACAAGCAUUUGACUGCUAUUAAAGUGGCUAAGGCCAUGAACAUGGAUGGACCUGCGGUGCAUUAGCUAGUUGGUGAGGUAACGGCCCACCAAGGCGACGAUGCAUAGCCGGCCUGAGAGGGCGGACGGCCACAUUGGGACUGAGACACGGCCCAAACUCCUACGGGAGGCAGCAGUAGGGAAUUUUCGUCAAUGGGGGGAACCCUGAACGAGCAAUGCCGCGUGAGUGAGGAAGGUCUUCGGAUCGUAAAGCUCUGUUGUAAGAGAAAAACGGCACUCAUAGGGAAUGAUGAGUGAGUGAUGGUAUCUUACCAGAAAGUCACGGCUAACUACGUGCCAGCAGCCGCGGUAAUACGUAGGUGGCGAGCGUUAUCCGGAAUGAUUGGGCGUAAAGGGUGCGUAGGUGGCAGAUCAAGUCUGGAGUAAAAGGUAUGGGCUCAACCCGUACUUGCUCUGGAAACUGAUCAGCUAGAGAACAGAAGAGGACGGCGGAACUCCAUGUGUAGCGGUAAAAUGCGUAGAUAUAUGGAAGAACACCGGUGGCGAAGGCGGCCGUCUGGUCUGGAUUCUGACACUGAAGCACGAAAGCGUGGGGAGCAAAUAGGAUUAGAUACCCUAGUAGUCCACGCCGUAAACGAUGAGAACUAGGUGUUGGGGGAAUAACUCAGUGCCGCAGUUAACGCAAUAAGUUCUCCGCCUGGGGAGUAUGCACGCAAGUGUGAAACUCAAAGGAAUUGACGGGGGCCCGCACAAGCGGUGGAGUAUGUGGUUUAAUUCGACGCAACGCGAAGAACCUUACCAGGUCUUGACAUUGAUGGACAGAACCAGAGAUGGUUCCUCUUCUUCGGAAGCCAGAAAACAGGUGGUGCACGGUUGUCGUCAGCUCGUGUCGUGAGAUGUUGGGUUAAGUCCCGCAACGAGCGCAA
rnacentral:rRNA from 1 species